UAAAAAAGAAAAGUUGGACAUCUAUGAUGA
rnacentral:piRNA from 1 species